UUGUGUGGUCAUGGGCGAAGAUCCGACCGUUGGAUCUUCGUAUAAAUGCAAAACAGUGAUUAGGGAGGCGAUUCGUGAGAAUCCGUCCGUCGGAUUUUCGUAUAAAUUUGUGAAGAUGUUAGUAAGGACGAUUCAGGAAGAUCCGACCGUUGGAUCUUCGUGAUGAUUUUUGGAGGGUGAUCCUAAGGGCGAUCCGUGAGGAUCCGACCGUUGGAUCAUCAUUUAAUUUCGAUCCGACCGUUGGAUUGUCGUUUGAAUAUGUUUUUGAGUUAUUGGCUAAGUUAAGGUCAUGUGUGAUUAGGUGAUUAACGGUCUUCCUUGGGUGAGCGAUUUCGAUGUGUAUUGUGUUGAAUUGAAGACGCAGCGGGAAUAUCGAGCGGGUAAUCCUGCAGGUCAGGAGAAUCAGGGCGGUGAUCGAGCGGGUUAGAGUAUUUGUUAUAGUUUUACAGCAUUUGUAAUAGUGAGGUGAGUUAAGCUCAUUGAGCCUUACAAUUUGAUUUGGUGAGAGUGUGUUGUAAUAAUUAACUUGAGGAUUUGAUUUAUUGUAAUAUUGAGAGGUGUGAAGUGUGGUUGUUUGUGAGAAAAAAAUUCAGGACGUUUAUUCUA